CAGAACUGUGGGUUCAUAUUCACAACUCUUUGCUGAACGCAUCAUGUCACAAGUCAAGCUGAAUGCCAAAGGAGACACUCCAGAUGGACUCAGUCUGGCACUCCUGGCUUGAAACAAAAAGCUGAGGUCAAAUCUUAACGCUGCUGAAUUCAAGGCUCUGGCUAGGAUAGCUACUGACUGACUGUGUGCUGUGAUGUGGGCUCUCACAAGUGACAAAGAAAAUGCGGGUCCAGCUUGACCUACACUCCAGAAUUCACCAAUCGCAAUCUUGUCCCUGGUUUAGACUGUUACUAUUUGAUUGAAUUGUCUGCAAUUACUUAUGAUGUAUUUCUUUUCAGAAGAGUAUGAAUACUAUUUUUUAAAUUUACACUUAAUUAUAAGUGUUUGUAAUUAUGAGUGUAAAGAGGUAAUAAUAGAUGUCCCUGAGUAAAGUUGUGACGUAGCGUUUGGAAAUACUUGGUGCCAAUACUGGGUGAUGGAUGGCCACGUCCCACAGCCCCCUUUUGUACCUUCACCCUGUGCUGCCCCAUUCCCUUCACUGUGCUGGCACAACCCAGAUAGGGUUGUGCUCCCAAGCAGAUGGGGGAACUGAUCCAGAAAAAAAAAUCAAAAUCCAGCAAUUCCCCGCCUCCAGUGUUCCUAGCCAAAUCAAUUUCCCAGUCCAGUUUAUAGCACAGCUGUAGAAACAGUUGUGUUGCUGUGAGGGAAAGGGCGGUAUAUCACAAUGAGAGAGACGAACGGUGCCGGGUAGGACUGGCAGUACUUUAAGUCAGAACUGCCAGCCUCUGAGCCCCAUUGUGUGAGUGUUCUGUUUUUUCUUCAUUGGUACAUUUCACACCUUGUAAUCAAAAUUUAGAGCCGACAGGUCUAUAAAGGAAACAAUGCAAACACAAGGUAACAGUGAGCUCAUACUGGUCAGCAUAUUAAAGGCGAUGGCAGGAAACCACCAGAUUAAUCAUUGCUGAGCUUUUCCUGUUAGCAUCAGAGCAGGGAUGAGUUUUAAGUAGGACACAGCUGAGGUCAUUGUAGCGUCUCUGCUGACUUCUGUGAGGAAUGACUCCCAUGCAUGCCUUAUUAGUUCUAGAAAGCUUUGCUCAUUCAUUACCUAGUGGUGAAUCUCUGGUUAGAAAAUUGACCACAGAACUCCCAGAAAAGGUAUUUUUUUUUUUCACAGUUUGUUUCUUUACAUUGCCACCUCUCUCUCUGCAUCUCUCAAAUGGCUCCUCUCUAUCAGUCAAAAACUUCUUUCAUUUCCAAUCCCUUCGUAGUUUAUCUACAACCUUUCUCUCUCUUCUCUUUCAAUACAGACAGGUUAAGUCCCUAGAAGUGUUGCAGCGCCAGUCUCCACUGCACACUUGUUGGAUUCCAAUGACUUACUUUCUUGUAUGCCAUCUCAUAUUUGGGAGGCAUUUCUAUAAACAGCCGUAUCACCUUGUGUCAUCCUCCUCCAGCCCUCCUUAAAACUCAUCUUUCUUUGGGUGCCCAAAGAGAAGGUGACGACAGAUAGGAUCUGAUGCUACUUCUGCUGGCCAGCAUCUCUCUGUUCCCCACGUGCUUCCUUCUCUGGACCUUCUAGAAAUACGCACAAAUAUACAUAUUUAUACACAUAUGGAAUUUGUAUUCUGUUAGCCCUAGGGGUAACAGCUCCACUGUGGCAAUUGCUGUACAAUCAAGUCCAAGCCGACUGCAAAGGCAGUGUAUUCACUGGACUCUAUCCGUCUCCUUAAAGCUGUGAUGUGUUUGCUGAGUUUUUGUUGCUAAGAAGUGCUGUUAACUUAGCUACUGCACUGAGCUCUCCCUAAAUCUCACAGGUUUUGUGUAUUUACAUCUUCUAGCUCCUUACCUGAUGUAAAUGUGGUAUCUAGAACAAGGUUACAGCAGUGCAAAGCUGUCACUAUGACAUACUGCAUCACUGUAAACAAGGAUAAAUGUCCUUCACAGUAUAUAAAGAAGGAAAAUAACAAUUGGAAAGGAAAUCAUAUUGUGUUAUGACCCAACUUCUUCUAUAUAUAGAUCCAGCAAUUGCCAUCCUGGACCAGGUUGUCAGUUGGUUUACUGCAUUAGUCAGUCUCAGGGACUGAAUAAUAGUAUUAGUUUCCAGUAAAGACACAAUAUAUAUGAUAUAAUCUUAUGGAAUAGCCUGCCUGUAAGAAAUUCCUUCCUACUCUUCCUUAGUUCAGGGACUGAACUAAGCUUCUAGGCAGAAUAGCUUCUGCCUUAUGAGUGUUUAUCUUUCCUGUAAAAACAGUCUGCAUGUAAUUAUGAGAAUUAUUAAUUACACAAAAGUCUAACGCAGAACUUCUCAAAUAGCAGACUUCACUAGAUCCAGAUCAUGAAUAAAUUUUGACUAGAGUGUGUCAAAGUUCUGUACUUAAAAAAUCUCCUGCAUUAUUUUGGAAAAUCCUAUAUUUUUAACCAUUUUCCUGGAGUUUGGGGUUAGUGGUGGGGAGCUGUACUCUGGCUGCAGUUCUGAGCUGUGCAGGCAGCAUGUAUUGCUUGGCUAGUCUGGCAGAGCUGGCACUGGUGUCUUGCUUUUUGCUGAACAAAGUGGGGCAUCAUUCUAUAAAGACUGAUUAGCCUUCGUCAAACCUUUUCCUAGCAACUCUUACUCUUCCUGCGGUCUACAUAACUACAUUUUUUUAUCCUAAUUUCUUUGGUUUGCUCACCACUGGUAUGUAGUUGUAUCAUGCUGUUUUCCUAGUGAAUCUUGAAAAAAGAAUGUUGUCACAGAGGUGAAGCUAAGGAAAUAGCCAGGAGUCACGUUGACGACAGGCAUCCUGCAUAAUUACUUGUCAUUACAGACAUUCUGCGCAGGUAUAGUACAACAUAUCCCACAGUACUGUGCUGUCUUCAGGGCUGGCAGCAUAUUGCCAAUUGCCAAACAUUAGUAUUCCAGCGUAAAGACCAAAACUUCACUGUGAAUACCAUUAGAACUGGGUCACUAACAGAAGGUGCGUGACAGCUUAACAUGCAGAACAGCUAAAGCCAUUUCCUCCAUCUCACACAGAGCAGAAAUACUGAGAGUGAAGAUUAUGGAUAUUGCGUGAGGAGAAUGACAUAUGACAGGCGUUAACAAUAUACUCGUUUGGUGGCAUUAGUGAUGCAGUUCUGCCUUGGAAACAGUGAAAAUCGGUGAUCAGCUGGCUGUUGUGCUGCACUGGUUUUGCUAAACAUUGGAAUUCACUUUAACAGGAAUCCAAAUGAUCGGGUAAAGUAUUUCAUUUUGCAGAGGAAAUUCUCUUGCUCAGCAGCACCCUAACAACACUACUAUUUUGCAUUUUCUGUUUGGAAUAAAGAGGUUUUAAACUUGCAGCUGCAAACUGCGUAUUUCUACUCCAGCUCCAGGAAUUACUACUGGAGCAGUGUGCUCAGCAGUCAUAAAAUUGCUCCAGAUAGAUUUCUGUCCUUUCUGAAAAUAUUAGGAAAUAAGCUGGACUGGAUUUUGUGUUCUGUCAUAGCAAAGUCCCUUUAAACCAGCAAGGGGAGAACAUAAGGGAAUUCUUCCUGGAUAGCACUGUUCCAGCUACCUUCUGAAUUGGAAAAUCAUGUUCAGACAUUCUUUGUAUGGUUGAAAAAGAAGGUGGAAGCCAGGGCAAGGAAGAAUCUGGAGCUGCAGAGAGAAACAGAUUUAAUUAGGUGAGUAUCUGUAAGUAAGCCACGCUGGCUCUCUGUGGUCCCCUGCUUUUGCUCUAUGUUAGACAGUCUGGAUAAUGUGAAGAAUCAGCCCCUUCAUAAGCCUUCAUUAAUUACUCUUCUAUCUUUUUGUAUGUGAUGAAGUAUCGCUGGAGACAAAAAGUGUGUGCACAGGUGGGUACGCACCAUGCUCUGCCUCAUUCAUCCUUACCUUUUUCCCUGCUAAGCCUCAAAGUUUUACCCAAAGUUGGAAGAAGAAAGUUCAAACAAAGCUCAUAUGGAAAAGAAACGUCAGGUCAAUCAGCUUGGUCUGCAGAUUCAGGCCAUCUUCAGUGAAGAGUUUAAAU